GUGCCUUCUUAGGCAGCACAUCUGCCAAAAACUGGGAUGAUACAGAAGAGAUCAGCAUGGCCCCUGAACAAGGACGACAUGCAAAUUUGUGAAGUGUUUCAUAAUUUA
ensembl:snRNA U6 U6 spliceosomal RNA